UACAUGUGGUGCAAGCGUUAUCCGGAAUUAUUGGGCGUAAAGCGUUCGUAGGCGGUUUAUUAAGUCUGGAGUUAAAUCUGGGGGCUCAACCCCCAUCUGCUUCGGAUACUGAUAGACUAGAGUUAUAGAGAGGUUAGUGGAACUCCAUGUGAAGCGGUGGAAUGCGUAGAUAUAUGGAAGAACACCAAUGGCGAAGGCAACUAACUGGCUAUACACUGACGCUGAGGAACGAAAGCGUGGGGAGCAAACAGG
rnacentral:rRNA from 1 species